GCCCAGGCUGAGCAGAGAACUGCCACUUCCCGUACUGCAACCGUGUCUGCCCAGCGUGAUGCAGGCAGCAUCUGUAACUUCACCGGGAUAGCCCAUGUCAGAAGUAGGGGACUCGUAACAAGUCUAAAGGAUCAAACUGCAAACUCCUUUCGGAUCUUACAGAAAUUGGGGAAUACAACUCCUUCCUGAUAUUCAGGAGGUCUGACCUGCUUCCACUGUCAACACACAACUGUGAAUACCAGAUGAGGCACCAACUGGUCACUGGAGGACAGGAGUUUAUGGAGGUGUUGCGGUGACACGUUCACAAAGUCUUCGCACUCCACCACCUCGGUAA
rnacentral:lncRNA from 1 species